CCUACGGGAGGCAGCAGUGGGGAAUUUUGGACAAUGGGCGCAAGCCUGAUCCAGCAAUGCCGCGUGCAGGAUGAAGGCCUUCGGGCUGUAAACUGCUUUUGUACGGAACGAAACGGUCUGCUUUAAUACAGUGGGCUAAUGACGGUACCGUAAGAAUAAGCACCGGCUAACUACGUGCCAGCAGCCGCGGUAAUACGUAGGGUGCGAGCGUUAAUCGGAAUUACUGGGCGUAAAGCGUGCGCGGGCGGUUAUAUAAGACAGAUGUGAAAUCCCCGGGCUCAACCUGGGACCUGCAUUUGUGACUGUAUAGCUAGAGUACGGUAGAGGGGGAUGGAAUUCCGCGUGUAGCAGUGAAAUGCGUAGAUAUGCGGAGGAACACCGAUGGCGAAGGCAAUCCCCUGGACCUGUACUGACGCUCAUGCACGAAAGCGUGGGGAGCAAACAGGAUUAGAUACCCUGGUAGUCCACGCCCUAAACGAUGUCAACUGGUUNUUGGGUCUUCACUGACUCAGUAACGAAGCUAACGCGUGAAGUUGACCGCCUGGGGUGGUACGGCGCGAGUAGUUAAGUUAGAAGAAGNGACGGCGNGAGACGNGCGACGGACGACGACGAGGGAGGAGG
rnacentral:rRNA from 1 species